GAAGCCCUCCUCAUUCAGAAACAACGAAGAAGAAGGAGAACGAGAUUAAUUGUGAAAAUUUUAUUUUGGUUUCAACUCACUUGGUAAGUACUUCAUUGUCAAAAAUAUGUAAGAAUAAAUACUUUUUUUUUUUUUCUAAUGGUUUUGGUAUGCCUCAAGUUUCUUAUAGAUUUGAUUCAGGCAUUUUCUUCCGAAAAGAAUACCCUGUUGUGGUUGCAAAGGACACAUAGUUUUUCCAACUGCUGAUUUUGGUAUGUGGCCCCUUUAUCUUAUACUUGCAUAUAGCUUCUUUAUGUACUGCCCGUUUGUUUAGGAGAUGCGAAGUGUUAUUCUUUUUUGCUAAAUGUGAUCUUUGUAAUUUGUAUGAUUGAUGUUGUUGUUGACAAUUGUAGGAAGCUGGAUGUGUUAUUUUUUAUGAUUGAAGGUGCUGUUGUUGUGUUUUUUUGACCUGUUAGGAAUGGUCUCUUGUUUUACUUUCACAAAAUGUUACUCUGGUUCUUUGUAUCAUUUUUUUAUACUUGGGAUAACAUACAAGCUCAUAUAAUGCUAAAUUCAAUUGAAAAUUCAGCAUGGUACAAUGAUGCCAUUAAUGGAACCAUGUCUGGCUGUAAUGCUAAUGCACAUGUUAUAACUAACAAUUGAGUGCUUAGAAGGAUUCUGUGUUUAUUAUCCUUUCUAAAAUGUAUACUAUUGGUCAUGUUGUUAAGAUCAAAGUUGAUUGUGUUUAGGAUUUGACAAGUCUGGAAAAUUAUUCAGUAAUUAGUAUUUAUCAUAAAGUUUGAGACCAAACGGCUUUUAUAUCAUUUAGACAAAGUGAUAUUUAUAUGCUAAUAGAGGAGCCUAUCUAGGCCAUUAAUAUAACAUCUACCAUGUAGUAGUUGGGUUUCGUGGUUAGUGGAACCAAACUAGGCCACUGGGUUUUGUAACAUCUACCUUUGUAGUUGGGUUUUGUGGAGAUGACUCAAGCAACCAAGAAUAAGAUUUGUCUAUUGUCAUUUUGAGGAACAAGGAUUGCUGUUGCUGCCUUUUUUUUUUUUCCUGUUUUUUAUUACCUUUGAAAAAUGGAUUUAUGUUUUCAAAUGUUGAAAAAUGGAAUGAUGUUAAAAACCAAUUUCUUAAUUUAAUUGUGAAUUUCUUUAUGUUUGGAGGAUACCAUUUGUUUCUACCAAGUCCAGCUGGUACAGAGUUGCAAAUUGGAGGCAUCAGUUUGUUCUAGGUAAUAGAAUUAUGGUAAAAAAUCAACAUGGCUCUAGAAAUGUGAGAAGCCCGAUUAUGCCAUUUUUUUGCUUCUUGAAAAAGUGAUCUAAAGUCAAAUCAUCAACCAAAUUUUGUCCCUUUUUAUGAUCUUUCUGCAGGAUGGAGUACAUAUACGACAUCAAUGAUCGAUGUGAUGCGAAGGUCACGGCACAUUCUAAAGUGUCAAGUGUGGAGAAAGUAUAUGAUGCAUUUGAUGAUGUUCAUAAGGAGAUGUUCUUGAAUUCAUGCUUCGGUAAAUUAUACAUUAGAAAUAUGAAAAUAUCUGCCCAACUAAUUUGCAACUUGUUAUUACGACUAAUUGUCUCUGUGAACGAGGAUGAACUAUGAUUUUGUUUAAUAUUGGAAAAAGUUGUCCGUUUCCUUUUGUACGAGUUUACGUUCGUUACAGGGUUAAGUCUUAUUAAUGAGGAGGAGUAUCAG
rnacentral:lncRNA from 1 species